rnacentral:rRNA from 1 species
CCUACGGGUGGCUGCAGUGAGGAAUAUUGGUCAAUGGGCGCGAGCCUGAACCAGCCAAGUCGCGUGAGGGAAGACGGCCCUACGGGUUGUAAACCUCUUUUGCCGGGGAGCAACGGGCGCCACGUGUGGCGCCACUGGGAGUACCCAGAGAAAACGCAUCGGCUAACUCCGUGCCAGCAGCCGCGGUAAUACGGAGGAUGCGAGCGUUAUCCGGAUUGAUUGGGUUUAAGGGGUGCGUAGGCGAAGCGUUAAGUCAGUGGUAAAAUUGAGGGGCUCAACCCCUUCCCGCCAUUGAAACUGGCGCUCUUGAGUGGAAGAGAAGUAUGCGGAAUGCGUGGUGUAGCGGUGAAAUGCAUAGAUAGCACGCAGAACCCCGAUUGCGAAGGCAGCAUGCCGGCUUCCUACUGACGCUGAAGCACGAAAGCGUGGGGAUCGAACAGGAUUAGAUACCCCUGUAGUC